ensembl:lncRNA
GAGGAAAGCAAUGACCAGUAGAGCAAAGCAUAUAUUGUCCUCUAGUAUAAUGAGAAGGACGAAUCAACUUUCAGGAAGAUCCAGGGUUAGAAGAUAUAGAAAAUAUUGUCAAUAUUUAGAGCACAUGCUACCCUUUCUCUGAAAAAGCACAUCACCCUCCUGCAGAAGUGGAAGAAGGCUAUGAAGUGAAGAAAAGUGAUGAAGAAUCUGAACUAUGUUCAAGUAGGUUCUCAAGCAUCCAGGACAUGGUAGUCUGAGGAGCUUGGAGAGAAAGUGACUGGGCUUCUUGAAGUUUCUUGAAUUUUCAGAAUGUGAAACUGAAAUAGAAGAUGUGUCAGAGGACUACACAUCAUCCAUUUCAAUUAUGAUGAAGAUCAAGCAAGAAAGAGGAGUCAGCUGAGACAGGAAUAUUUGCAGUAAUGUGAGGAAACACUGAUCUGGUCUUCUAUCCUUCCCAGUGACAGACGAUGCAUGACUCUCUCGUGCGUCAAAGAGAAAGACAAUCUACCACAGUCCAAGCACAUAUGCCAGGUCCCAUACUCCUUCAGUGGCUUUUCUACUCGAGUACUGAAAGCAUUAUAUACAAUGUAUUCUGCUUGUAUUCUGCUUUUUAAUUUUCAAAUGCCAAUGGAUGCAUCAGAGACCAAGUUGGGGUUCAGUAACUUGCCCAAGGACACCUAGGUAAUAACUCCAGACUAGAGCACACAGAGAUUGAAUAAGAUAAAAACAUGGGCAGUAUGUGAUGCCAGGUACAGCUGUACAUGGAGUGUAUGAUGGCAAACCGUCUGGCCGCGAGUUGUCCCUAACAUUGCAGAAGGUUUCCAAAAGAAAACAAUCACCAGUAACACCUUGUUUACUUCAUAUGCCCUUGGCCUGCAACUGCAGAAAAAGAGCUGUCCAUGAUGGGACCAGUACAGAGGGAUAAACCUGAGCUUCCUCCUGCACUUGUGUCAAAUAUGGACACGCCUUUGUUCUCAUGAAAGUUUGCCUUCACUCAGACCCAUGCCCUGGUGUUCCUACCAUGCCAAAACAGAAAAAUAUCAUGUAAUGAGUCAGAAUAAAGUUGAAUAAGACCUUGAAACACAGAGAUGAAUGAUAUUUUAUACUUACUGCUUUAUAAAUAGUCAAACCAGUUGAGGUCAUUUUUGAGCCCAAAGGACAACAGAUGUGAUUAUUUGCUGCCAGUAAAAAACUUGAAGUAGUUUAAAAACAGCUUCCCAAAUUAACUUCGACAUAUACCCGUCUGUGAUCAUCUGUUAAAGCAACCAAUUUUGGUUGUGAAAGGAUAAUCACAAUAACUGAUGAUUUUAUUUAUUUUGUUACCUGAAAACACCUGAAACAUUUCGUUUAAAUGAGGUUUUAUCAGACAUAUGGAAUAAAGAAAUAGUGUCAAAGUGUUUGAAUUAAGUUUUAAUUAAAAGUGGGGGAAAAUCCACUUUAUAUUAAUUAAGUAUCAAUCAAACCAGAUGGGGACAUUUUUGACCCCUGAGGACCACAGGUGUGAUUAUGUGCUGCCAUUUAAAAUUUGUAAAUGAUUAAAAAAAACAUUCUCAUUAAAAAUCAACAUACAACUCUGUGGUUAUUCAGAUAGUCAUAAUAAUAUAAACAUUUAAAUACUUUAUUGUCUCAUUUUGUUUUCGCUCAAAAACAGAGUAUACUUCAUGUAAACAAGGUCGGGUGGCCCUAAAAUGUAAAAUGUAGGGUAAAUUUUGUGUUAAUGUGUUGGUCUUAAGUAAAACUAAAGUGUAAC